rnacentral:lncRNA from 1 species
GGCUCUGUCCUGGAGUGCUUCACCCCCAGGGCGCUUCCCACGCAGGGGGGAACCAGGACAGCCCUGGAGUUCAAAUAUCCCCAUAGGGUCCGGGGGGGGUGUGUGUCUGUUCUCAUACAUUUUCCCAGCACUGGUUUGCUGAGGCGGCCGUGGACGCCUGGCACCGUGUGACCUGCUGUGAUUUUUCCCUUCGGAAUCCACACCUAACCCCUUGGGCACUUAGACCAGGAAACUAAUAUCCAAGGAAUAACAGGAUGCUAAUUCCUCGUGGCCCCCCAGUCGACCUCCCUUCUGCGGCUGUGAGCACCAAGGGAGCCGCCCUGCUUGACCUGGAGCCAUCUGUCUGUCUUUCCAUCUGUCUCUGCAUCCAUCCACCUCUCGGCAGAGCUGGCGGCUUGACCCCAGAGCAUCUGUGCAGAGUGAGGAGAGGACUAGAACAUGCUGUAAAGACCUCUGCAACAAGACCCAGGAAGCUGCAAGCUCAGCCUAAACCCUGAAGGUAGGAAGCUGGGUGGCUGAGUGGGCUGGACCCCAGGUACCAGCUGCUUUGCUUGCUCGUUUAUCUGAUUUUCAACCGUAUGUCCUGAUGCUACCCGUGGGCUGGCACUGUUCUAGCUGCAGAGAUGCAGCUGUGAAGGAGGCAGAAAGAGGUUCAGCCAGAGAGGCGAGCAGGGCGACGUGAUGGAGAGACGUGGGGGUGGGGCGCUGCUUCAGGCAGUCAGGGAGGGCUCCCUGGAGGAGGUGGCAUUCUAGCUGGGAAAUCGUUGAUGAUCUGAUCUGGGGAGGAGGGGACCAGUAAGGGCAGAGGAGCACCAGCUAGAACGUUUGUUUGUUUUCUUUUUCAGCUGCACCCGCAGCAUAUGGAAGCUCCCAGGCCAAGGAUCGAAUCCAAGCCAUAGUUGCAUCCUACACCACAGCUGCGGCUGUGCUGGAUCUUUAACCCACUGUGCUGGACUGGGGUCCAAAUGGCAACGCCUUAGAGACAAGCCAGAUCAUUAACUCAUUGCGCCACAGUGGGAACUCCGAGACUUUUUUUUUUAACCAGAUCUAUAGAGAUAGAGUUCACAUUUAAUUUAUGGACGUCACAUAAAACUCAUCCAUUUAAAGCAUACCGUUCAAUGGUUUCUAGUAUCUUCCUAGGUAUGUGUAACUAUCACUCUUGUCAACUUUAGAACAUUUUCAGCAUCUCAGAAUGAAAGCCACGCCCUUUAGCUGUCACCCUUCCAACCCCUUCCCAGCCGUGAACCACGACUCAGCCGUCUGUCUCUAUAGGUUCGCCUCUUCUAGGCUUGUAUUUCGACCCUGGUGUAUGUGGUCUUUGGUGUCUGGCUUUUUCUCACGCUCUCUCUCUUUCUUUUUAAUAUUUUUUUUGGCUUUUUGUCUUUUUGCCAUUUUUGGGGCCGCUCCCGCGCCAUAUGGAGGUUCCCAGGCUAGGAGUCCAAUCAGAGCUGUAGCCACCAGCCUACGCCAGAGCCACAGCAACGCAGGAUCCGAGCCGCGUCUGCGACCUACACCACAGCUCACGGCAACGCCGGAUCCUUAACCCACUGAGAAAGCGCAGGGACCGAAUCUGCAACCUCGUGGUUCCUAGUCGGAUUCGUUAACCACUGAGCCACGACAGAAUGCCUCUUUUUAAUUUUUAAAAUUAAAAUAUAGUUGAUUUACAAUGUUCUUCAAUUUCUGCUGUACAGCACAGUGACCCAGUCAUACAUAUAUAGACAAGCUUUUUCUCAUACUGUCUUCCAUCCUGUUCUAUCCCAAGAGACUAGAUAUAGUUCCCUGUGCUGUACAGCACGACUUCAUUGCCCAUCCAUUCUAAAUGUCAAAGUUUGCAUCUCCUAACCCCAAACUCCCCGUCCAUCCCGCUCCUUCCCCCCAUCUUGCUUGGCAACCACAAGUCUGUUCUCUAGGUCUGUGAGUCUCUUCCUCUUCUACAGAUAGGUUCAUUUAUGCCAUACUUUAUUUUUUUUAAUUUUUCUUUGCUUUUUAGGGCCCCACCUGCGGCAUAUGGAGGUUCCCAGGUUGCAGUUCAAAUCAGAGCUGCAGCUGCCAGUCUACACCACAACCAUAGCAAUGUCAGAUCCAAGCCGCAUCUGCGACCUACGCCUACCACACACAGUUCACGGCAACGCCGGAUCCUUAAUCCACUGAGUGAGGCCAGGGAUCAAACCUGAGUCCUCAUGGAUCCUAGUUGGAUUCGUUUCUGCUGUACCACAACAGGAAUUCCUGUGCCAUAUUUUAGAUUCCACAUAUAAGUGAUAUCAUACGGUAUUUGACUUUCUCUUUCUGACUUACUUCACUUAGUAUGAGAAUCUCUAGUUGCAUCCAUGUUGCUGCAAAUGGCAUUAUUUCGUUCUUUUUUAUGGCUGAGUAAUAUUCCAUCGUGUGUGUGUGUGUGGGUGUGUGUGUGUGGGUCUGUGUCCAUGUGUGUACCACAUCUUCUUAAUCCAUUCAUCUGUUAGUGGUUGUUUAAGUGGUUUCCAUGUCUUGGCUAUCGUAAAUAGGGCUGCAGUGAACAUAGGGGUGCAGGUAUCUUCUUGAAUUGUAGUUUUGUCCAGCUCUGUGCCCAGGAAUGGAAUUGCUGGACUACAUGGUAGCUCUGUAUUAGGUGUUUUGUUUGUUUGUUUGUUUUGUUUUGUUUUUCUUUUUAGGGCCACACCUGCAGCAUAUGGAAGUUCCCAGGAUAGUGGUUGAAUCAGAGCUGUAGCAGCCAGCUGACAUCACAGCCUUAGCAUCAUGGGAUCCAAGUCGAGUCUGCGACCUGUGCCACAGCUCACAGAAACACCAGAUCCAGCGAUCCAGCCCAUGUCCUCAUGGAUACUAGUCAGGUUCAUUACUGCUGAGCCCCGAUGGGAACUCCUUUGAAUUAGUUUUCUGAGGAACUUCCAUCCUGUUUUUCAUGGUGGGGACUGGGCGGAGAAGGGGGACCGGACAGACUUGGAACAAAGGCAGCUGCUACAUGGCCCUGCCCUCCCCCACCUUGGCCACACGUGCCCUUGCCUGGAGGGCUCCCGUGGGACUCUCCACGCAGCCUGUGCACACCUGGGGUGGGUGAUGGAUCUAGAGGCCCCAGCCUUGUGCGAGGGGAGGAGAGAUCAAAACUGCCCCAGUAGGAGUUCCCACUGUGUCUCAGUGGUAAUGAACCCUAUUGGUAUCCAUGAGGACACAGGUUUGAUCCCUGGCUUGUCCAGUGGGUUAAGAAUCUGGCGUUUUCAUGAGCUGUGGUGUAGGUCACAGACUUGGCUCAGAUCCUGUGUUGCUGAGGCUGUGGUGUAGACUGGCAGCUACAGCUGCGAUUCUGCCCUGAGCCUGGGAACUUCCAUAUGCCUCAGAUGUGGCCCUAAAAAAGGGAAAAACAAAAAACACUGCCCCAGUAGCCUUGGGACAUGAAAAGAGGAAACAGUUGAAGAUUUGAGCAAGAAAAAGGUCACGGGGCAGAGUGAGUGGUGAAAUGGAGAGAGGAGAUGAAACAGAGGGCGUUAAUUAAUUCUGGUGGCAUCACAGGGGCUGUGGGGGUCGGCGCCACCAGCACGUGUGGAAAAGCCCCAGAUGGGAUGAAUUGCCACCUCCCCCUAGCUGGGCCGUUUGGUGAGAUCCUUUGAAAUUCAAGAUACACUUACUCUUCAAUCCAGCCAUUCCUGGGAGUUCCCUGGUGGCUCGGCAGCGUAAGGAUCCAGCGUUGUUACUGCUGUGACUCAGGUCACUGCUGUGGCGAGGGUUCCAUCCCUGGCCCGGGAACUUCCAUGUGUGAUGGGCGCAGAAGAAAAAAAAAAAAGAAAAUCUAGAAAUUCUACUUCUAGCAGUUUGUCUGGUGAUACUCCUGGAACAAGCAGGCACAGCAUAGGCCAAGGUCAGCGUUCAUGUGGGACACAAACCUAAGCAACCAUCAGUCUGGAAGCAAGUAAAUCUGGGCACAUUCCGCUCGGUGAAACCUUCCCAGGCUUCAGGAAGGAUCCGGUAGAGCCGUCCCCAAGCGUCGAGAGGGGAGGGCGUCCCCACUGUGAGCGUGUGUAAGACGUGCAGUCCGUAUGUCCUUCCUGGGUGCAGAGAGACAUCUGGACGGAGGCACGCCGAGCUCUUUUAUCGUUAAGAUGUAUUAGUCUUCAAAGUUCCCACUGCCGCGCAGUGGGUUAAUGAUCGGGCUUGUCUCUAUGGAGACACGGGUUCGAUCCCCGGCCUGGCGCAGUGAGUUAAGGUUCCAGGGUGGCUGCAGCUGUGGUGUAGUUCACAGCUCCAGCUCCGGCUAGGAUUCAGUCCCUGGCUUGGGAACCUCCAUGUACUGCAGGUGCAACCAAAAAAAAAAAAAA